rnacentral:lncRNA from 1 species
AUUGCUUUGGAAUAUGAGAUUGUUUAAAGCCUUUUUCUAAAAGAUGAAUAAAAAACAAGAGAGUUUUUAAAAUUUCGCUUGGCCAAUGAUAAAAGUUUUCUUUUAAGAAAUUUUAGGCAAUCUUCAUGGAUAAAAGAAAGCUAUUGGGAACAAGAAUAAAUAGAUUAUUCUAACAUUAACCAUGUCUGUUUAAUACCUUAAUAGUUAUUUAAUAUUUAUGAAGAUUUGUAUUAAUUAGGUUUGAUUUUAACAGUCUUUAGUAACAAGAAACUGGGUAACUAGGAACUAAUGUCUUGUGUGGAUGAUACUCAAAACAAAUAAUAAAAGGUAGAAAAACAAGCCAACAUGAAAGAUGAGGUGCUCUUAUACAAUUCCCCAUAAAUCUGAAAUUCAGGCCCUUUAAAACAGGAAAGAAACCAAGUUCCUUUUCUUUCACAUAAUCCUGGGUUCUUUCCUCAGUUUUGGAAAGUACAGUGGCUCCAACCAUUCACUUUAGGUAAAUGUGCUUAUCCCUUUAGUAAAUGUUUACCAUGACUUUUAGGCACAAAUCACUAAGGUAGGUGCCAUGUGGGCAAAGAGGGGAUCAAUUUCCUUCUUGCCUUCAAGUUGCUCAUUCUCUAGGCUGGAAGACUGACGUGGACACUAAUGCCUCAUGUCACCAGACUGUGAGUUCUGACCAAGAUGUGAGUCUGUCUUAAAUCAUCUUUGUCUAGGCCAUGCCUAGAACAGUGCCUGGAAUAUUGCAAUGUGCAAUCAAUAUUUCAUAACUGAUUGGCUAAAUGAAUGAAUUAACAUCCAUGAGUGAGGUAUUAAUCGGCUUCUCUCUCUUUUUUUUUUUUGGUUCGAUGACACUAAGCAAACCAUUGAACAAACACCGUUCAGGGGGAAAACGUACAGCUGAGAGUCCACGGUGUGAUAGAAGCAGCCUCUCCUGCAGGUACAGCUUGCUGUAGUCAGAUGCAUAUUCUACCGUCAAUCCAACACCAAACAAAGGUACGUGUACAUGUGAGGGAUCUGCUUCCUGACCAUAUUGGCAGGCAAGAUCAGGUCAAUAAACAGUUUUAUUGAAAUAGCA